rnacentral:rRNA from 1 species
UACGGAGGUGGCAAGCGUUGCUCGGAAUCACUGGGCGUAAAGGGCGCGUAGGCGGCUUGUCACGUCGGGUGUGAAAGCCCGGGGCUUAACCCCGGGUCUGCAUUCGAUACGGGCAGGCUAGAGUGUGGUAGGGGAGAUCGGAAUUCCUGGUGUAGCGGUGAAAUGCGCAGAUAUCAGGAGGAACACCGGUGGCGAAGGCGGGUCUCUGGGCCGAUACUGACGCUGAGGAGCGAAAGCGUGGGGAGCAAACAGG